GCGUAACGCACUUCUUGGGCGUUUCCUCCCUAGACUGAAGGCCGCGGGUCCGCCCGCGGCCUUUUUUUGCGCGAAG
rnacentral:sRNA from 1 species